UCCCUGGUGGCUCAGAUGGUAAAGCAUCUGCCUACAACGCGGGAGACCUGGGUUCGAUCCCUGGGUUGGGAA
rnacentral:tRNA from 1 species